AUGUAUCGUGCGCUCACGCAUUCUGAGGUACCGGAGAGCAAUAACAAAAAAAUCUGGAAGGCAAAGAUUCCACUAAAAGUUAAAAUAUUCAUGUGGUACCUUCGUAGAGGUGUUGUGCUAACCAAGGACAACCUUGCACGACGCAACUGGCCAGGAAGUAAGAAGUGUUGUUUUUGUACUCAUAACGAGACAAUCAAAGACCUAUUUUUUCAAUGCAAGUUUGCGCGUUCUACGUGGUCAGUCAUCCAAAUAGCGUCAAAUUUGUAUCCGCCCACAAGUGUUGUCAAUAUUUUUGGUCAUUGGUUGGACGAUAUUUCAAAUAGGUUCAAAACGUAA
rnacentral:rRNA from 1 species